AUGCAAGUCGAGCGAUUCUCUUCGGAGAAGAGCGGCGGACGGGUGAGUAACGCGUGGGUAACCUGCCCUGUACACACGGAUAACAUACCGAAAGGUAUGCUAAUACGAGAUAAUAUGCUUUUAUCGCAUGGUAGAAGUAUCAAAGCUUUUGCGGUACAGGAUGGACCCGCGUCUGAUUAGCUAGUUGGUGGGGUAACGGCCUACCAAGGCGGCGAUCAGUAGCCGGCCUGAGAGGGUGAACGGCCACAUUGGGACUGAGACACGGCCCAAACUCC
rnacentral:rRNA from 1 species